AUGCCAUUAUCCAGAUUCUUGAAAUGGAUUAUAGACUUCAUGCAAUCCCUCUUUCAAACUUCUCUUUCUUCCCCGCCUCCUUCUCCGCCUAUGGAACUCUGCAAUGACAUUCUCUUCGAAAUUUUUCUACGCCUCCCUCCUGAAGUACUUCCACGCCUCAGCAUCCUUAAUAAAGGAUCCUAUGACAUGAUUAACAGCCCACUAUUCCAAACAACUUAUUGGAGGCAGAAGAUUCAACUACCUCGCCUUUAUGCUAGGGUUCCUCAAAUUCGUUACCCUUCAAGUUACUACACUAGGAUCCUUCAAUGGACCGAGGCAAUGCUUGAGUACAACCACAUUGGACCAAAUGUAUCAAAAUUCAGAAAACAAAUGAGUGGCCAAAAAGACACGGAUGCAAUAUGCCAACAGCACCUUCGAACAAAUGAGUAG